rnacentral:rRNA from 1 species
UACGGAGGGUGCAAGCAUUGAUCGGAAUUACUGGGCGUAAAGGGCGCGUAGGCGGUUAGAAAAGUCAGAUGUGAAAUUCCGGGGCUCAACCCCGGAGCUGCAUUUGAAACUCUCUAGCUAGAGUUCAGUUAGGGUAAACGGAAUUCCACGUGUAGCGGUGAAAUGCGUAGAUAUGUGGAAGAACACCGGUGGUGAAGACGGUUUACUGGGCUGAGACUGACGCUGAGGCGCGAAAGCAUGGGGAGCAAACAGG